UACGAGGGGGGCGAGCGUUGUCCGGAAUCACUGGGCGUAAAGGGCGCGUAGGUGGCCUGAUGAGUCAACGGUGAAAGCUCGUCGCUUAACGACGAGUCGGCCGUCGAUACUGUCGGGCUGGAGCACUGUAGAGGCAGAUGGAAUUCCGGGUGUAGCGGUGGAAUGCGUAGAGAUCCGGAAGAACACCGGUGGCGAAGGCGGUCUGCUGGGCAGUUGCUGACACUGAGGCGCGACAGCGUGGGGAGCAAACAGG
rnacentral:rRNA from 1 species